ensembl:lncRNA
UUUUUGGCCACCAGCCUCUUCCUGGCCCCUCAUGGCUCAGGAUGUAUAAAACACCCCAUGGGUUACUGCAGCCUGUCAGGAAUGACCCUCAAAAAAUCAGGCAGCUAGGAAAAGGGGAAUUUUGUUACCAUUACCAGCAGGGCCUGAGCUCAGCUGCAAUCAAAGAAGAGGUUUGUUGGUUGAAGCUGGAAAUAAAGGUGAGCUAAACUAAAUCCAGGCUUUGUUUAACUGUGUUAUAUUCCUCUCUUUAGGGCUCUGCUGACAUUAUACAUUAUUUUCCAGACUAGUACUAGACAUCUUCCAUGGAUGUGUUCCCAACGGUUUUCCAGAUGAAGAGUUGUGAUAAAAACCUGACCUAUUAUGUUGUAGGGCACUUCCUCUUCACCCUCAUGUGCACCAGGAAUGGGGUUUAUUUGGGAUAUUUACAGCUGUGAAGGAAUGGCACAUGAGUAAAACAUCUCAUGAAUCAAAAAAGGAACCCUCCACAAUUAAAAUGCAGCUAAAGAAAACAUGUGAAACCCGAGAUAUAGAACAAAUCCCGGCUUGAAUCAUCUGGUUCCAAGACCUGCAAGGAGCCCAUUGAGCUUGAGCUAAUAUCUAUUCACGACAUGCAAGAAGCAAAGACAAAUAGGGGUGGCCUGGAGCUAGGGUUACACGGAUGCUGCAUCCGGAGAUGACACCAGGCCCCUGUUCUGCUCUGACAGCGGUCAGGGCACCAACCCUGCUCCCCCUGUAUGUGCCUCUCUGGUGCUGGCACCAUGCUGUCCUCACACCUCAAAGCCCUUCUCCAGGCAGGGCAGGAACACCACAAAUGGGAGCACACAGCCCUCUGCAAACUCAGGAGCUUUUUGGCAACAAGACCUCGGGCUUGGAAAACACCUCGGUGUACUCCAGGCCCUGUGGCAGCCCAGUAGUGCUGGUGUGUGAUGCACCCAGAGGGCGAGAUGUUGGGUGAAGUACCUUCUGUCACCCUGACUCCAGCUCAUUCCCAGCAGCAAUGAGCUGUCUGGUGACAUGACAGCUCCUGGCCAGGUGUUUGUCCCACAGGAACUUGUCUGAGGGGUGCAUGCAGCAGCCUCCUUUGCAAGCCCCCCAAGCACAGCAGCUGAUUGUGACACCACACCCAGGAGGCGAGAUGAAGCCAGGCCUGUGCAGCACUUUGGAGCACGCAAACCUGCCAAAGCCUCCUUUGCAGCCCUGACUGACCCACAGGGAUCAGCUGGAAGCUGCACCCUGAGGUAAAGCCUCUGCUUCCUCUGCCUCCCCUGGCUGGGACAGUGCUGAUGCUGGCCAACCACCCCGUGUGAAACUCUGCUUGCACUGGCACAGACAGCAUGAGCUGGGCAAGCAAAGGCUGGCCAUGAAACAGUCGUGGUUAACCUGAGCCAUUUUGGCAAAACAGGUCAUUGACUGACCCAGUAAUUUUGGAAGUGCCCAAGAGGAAGCCAAGUCUGCUCGUGAGGAGGCUGGUGGUGACAGCACGUCAGGCUCAGUUACCUUUUAACCCUGCUCAGCUGCAGGCAGCUCAGAUGCAAUCAGAUCUUUCAGUGUCAUUUCCUUUCCAUGUCUCGUUUUGCUUUCUAAAUUUUGUGUUUCUGGGUAGCUGGGAAUCUGCUCUGACUUGGAAAAUGAGCAAGUCUCCAUUGAGGGCUCUGUGGGGUCACAAGCCCCCGUGCAGGCAGGGACUGUGGGUCUCUGAGAGCAUGUCAGGCCAGGCAGAGCCACAUUAGCCCUGCAAUAAACCAUCACCCCGAGCAGGUUUAAUGGUUCAGCCAGAUUAAUGAGCCUGGGAGAGCCAAGCUGCUUCCUGCCUCACACGUGUGGUUCACUCAGUGCAGCCCAGGAGAGCACCAUGAUUAAGCCAAUGCAGCCAAAAUUUGCCAGCUAAGAGACUGCAGGGUCAGAGUAGUCCUGCUGGUGGUGGCUCUGCUGGCUUUCCUGCCUGUGCCUGCCACCCCUCUCAACACAGUUUAAACCGUUUUCUCUGGGACGCUUUGAUAAGCCUCUGCAUCUCACAAGUAAUGCAGGAAAGAGCAAUAAAAUGAGAUGUAGAUAGGACAGGCACACAACGGGGAAGCAAAUGGCCCACAUGUUGUAGUCACCGGUUCCAGAUAAAGACAACAGUCCCCUCCUUGGGAGUCCCCUUUGAAAGGAAAAGCAACUAUUUGAUUUCCAGGUUGUCACUCUGCUCUGUGUCCCCAUCUUCACCAAGGGUGGAUGAGCUGUGGGUCGAUACGACCGAGGUGCAAGCAGGGGUGAGGCAAGCAGCCUGCCAGCACAGUGUGGGGCAGGCUGAGGUCUCUCUCAUGUCCUGAUUGUUGCCCCCCAUGGGGCUGCCCUGGCUGCUCACUACUUGUGAGGGAUGUCUCAUGAGUCUUAAGGGAUGUCUCAUGGGUGCUGUAAGUACCUUCUGGUACCUGCGUCUAUCUCCCCUCUACCCAUGGUGAAGAAGCAAUACCUUUGAGACAACCCCACCCAACACUGAUAACUCUUCUCCACAAUGUUAUCAAAGGCCUUAUCAAUGCAUGCAGCUGGCACUGGUUGCAAUAAAAUUGGUUUCAAGCCUGUUUUCUUUACAGUUACCCAUCUGGACAUGCUUGAAUCAGCACACAGGGGCUGGGAAAAUCAAUCCAGCCCCAGUCAAAACCCAUUCAGCCAGCAGCAGUUUAUUGGUUGCAUUUGGCUGCAAGUCCCAUGGUGCCUUUGCCUGUGCUGGAGGUUGGAGGUGGGAAGGUGAGGGGAGCUGUUGUGCUCCCAGGGGAGGUUGGCUGCAAUGUGAGCCAGUCUUACCUGGCAUGGGGCUUAUCAGAGACUGCAUGACUUCUGGCCCUACCCUCACCCCCAUCCCAAAUCCUCUUGCCAUGUCUCUGCAGGUCUGGGUGGCUCAAAGUCCAGCCUGUGACUUUUUGAUAGAUGAUCACAAGACAAGAAAAUAUGCUUGAAGAGAUGCCCAAUCUAGAAAGCCUCAGAACAACAUCAAGGCGUAAGAGGGGAUGUGGGAACCCAGGGCUUCCCUCUGGCUGCCCUGGAAGGCCUGGGACCCCAGCAGGGGGUCAGGAACCCCCCUGUACAGAGCCCCGAGAGACACUGUCUGUGAUCUCUGUCCAUGGAAAAGAGUUUUCAAUCUUACAGGAUAAAUUACAAGCUCUGAGUGUUUCAUAUGAGUAAUAAUUAAGUGUGACACGGGUGCAAAAGUAAAAUUUUAGGUUUCUAGAUUAGGGGUUCAGAGGGGACAAGAUGGAGGAAAUUGGGUGUGUCUUGUCCUUUUCUCCUUCUUCAUGCCCUUCAUGUUUCACUGUAGUGUUGGCAUUUUUCUAUUGGUUUAGGCUGGGGACACACUGUUCAACGUAGGUGACAGAUAUUGGCACAUUAUUGUAAAUAUAGCACACGUAGUUUCUGGUAUUUAAUGUUUGUAACAUCCCACUGAGGGGCAGAGCCCCACACGCUGCCCUGCAGGACAGACCUGCGGCAGGGCAGCAGAACAUGUUAGAUAUAAGCAAGAAUAAACAACCUGGAAAACCAGCACAGACUAAUUAUGGCUUCUUCUUUGGCAACGGGGCAGAAAGACAGAGACUUUCUACAAAUAUCGGAAUCAUCAAUAUCACGGAUUCCAACAAGGGGAGGGCAAGGAAAAGCAGAAGGGAUGGCUGGACUGGCGCCUUGCCUGAGACUUUCAAGGCAAAGAUGCGCUUUCAGGAAGGCGGCAGUGGAAACCACACCAUGGGGAAUGUUUCAAAGCUAACUCCAGAAAACAUUGUCCCAGGAGCAAUUCUGCAAGUAUGUGGGGAUGGCUAUGGUUUAAUGUGUUUCUCCUGUCUCUGAUUUAUAGGAGGAAAAGACACAGUUCAGAGGUGUUGGGGCCAUUCCCAAACAACAGGAAGCCAGAUGAAAUCCACAGGUUGAGGGGAGCCCAUCUGGUCCUGGCCAACUCCCAUAGAAAAGGCCCAGCGAGCCUUUCCUGAGUGCCCCAAGAUAAAUCUCUCCUGCUGCUGGUGAACACUUUAGGACCCCAUAGCAUGCACGGAAGAGUUAACUGCUGCUUCACCAUGCCACAGGGAGCUUCCUGCGGUUUCUUUCCAUGUUUUCUAUCCAUGUCUUCACAACUAUCUCACUCAUGUGCUGCCCAAGCAGCUCUUGGCAUCCCUCUGGCUGCAAGCUGAGCACAACCGCUCGCUCAGCCAGUGGCUGUGCAGCCAAACAGCUGAGCUGCAGGUACAGGUGAGAGUUCUGCUAUGGCUCGGGCUUCACAUCAUGGAGAGGAUGUGGGCUCUGGGAUGUGGCCAUGUCCAGUCUGACAGAAACUUCCCCCAUUUUCCCAAGUUUCCUCCUUCAGCCCCAGAAGGUACUGACUGCAUUAAUCAUUGAGAUCAGCAUCAUGCUCUGGGUCAGAGGCACAUGCCACUACAGUGCUGUGGCACUGGAGCUUUUCCUCUUCUGUGGGUGCUGGAUAUGGGCAGCAUCAGACACACCGGGGGGCACCCCAGAAGCUGAUGGAGGUGAAGAUUUGUCUGGAAUUAAUGCAAACAGCAAAGUAAAACUCCUCUAGAUUACAGCCACCAGAUGAAAAACACCCCAGCAUGCCAUUUUCCUUCCUGCCCUUGUUGUAAAGUGACACUGACACACAUCUCAGUACGCCCAAACCCAUGGCUGGUGCUGCACUGGCUGGGCCUUUGAAAUAAAGCAUUUCUUGACAAAUCCCUGUCUUGGCUGUGGUUACUGCCUGGGACAAUGCUGGGAAGGAAUAUGCCUGGAGAUACCGUGACCAGUGAAUAACUUGACAUGUAGGUGCUGGAAUUCAGGUCUGGAAAAGGCACUGCACUGAGGAUUAAGGACAGCAAGGCUGGAGAGAGCAUGCGAUGUCUUGUCUUCCCCCUUGGCACCUCCAUGGGACCAGGACUUCCUUUUCUGAUGGCACAGCCCCAUGUCAGAGGAUUUAGAAACUAUACCCAAGCGGCAAAUGAGAAAACUCCCUUUGCCUCUGCAUUCCCUAUGGUACUUUCCGGCUCUCCUUUGGGAGCUCCCAGCAGGCCAGAGCUGCACCAAGGAGGGGUAAGAGGAGCAUGUGACAUGGGGAGGCAGCAGGCCCAGGGAAGCCUGGUUUAACCUAAGCCUGGUUUAGUGAGGAAGAACACAGAGUGAGUGUCUGCGAAGCGGGGACUGGAGAAGGGUGACAGGUGACAGCUGUGGGUUCUGUGUGUGGAAGGAGAAGUGCAGUUCACUUUUCUCCAUUUUUUUUUUCCCCUCUUGUUGUGAUAAUUAUGUUUGUAAAAGCAAAUUAACACUCAAGUGUGAAGAGCAAAACUCAGCCUUGGGAAGGUGGGAAGGAGCAAACUGCCUCCCCCCAAGAGGGCAUCUGCCUCUCCUUGUACGCAGUGACAGCUCCGUGUAUCCCCAAGGCUCCCAGCCAUUCCUUUGGGGUACACAUGGCUUCCAACAUGUUCCCAGAAUCCUUCCACACCCUGAUGUUGCAUCAUUCACAGAGAUGUGUUCCUUUUGACUUCAUCUUCACCUUUGUUUCGUCCAAUUCUGCACACUGGGGAAAAAAAAUCCUCUGGCUUAUUUGGUUUCCAGAGCCAAAUAGUGAUUACCUGUUGGCUCAUGUGUGCACCACUGGGAGAGCUGGCAGCUACUGACCCCCUGCACUCCGGAGGGUGCAGGCUAACCCAAGCUCAAGCAGUGAAAAGAGCUAGAGAAUUGAAGGUGGACAACAUUCUCCUUUUGUGUUUGCUGUUGCUCCUAAGGGGAAGACACCAGAAAACAUCCAGCCAGACAGCAUUUCUUCCACAAGAAGGGUUUGCUGUCAUACUCUGAGCAGGUGAUUCAGAGUGGGAGCAUGCAAUGACAUCAGGAUCCUCAGUGCCCUGAGCUGCUUAUAUUUGACUGCUGUUAAAAACCUCCUCUGCCUUGCUGCAGAGAUACCUCUGAGGCCACUUUCUUCUUCUGUUUUUCACGGUGAAGCUUUUUAUCAAACUCACAUUGAAACAUAUUGAGUUGCUGCCAAACCAAAUUUUUGCUUCACCUUUCUGACAAGCCACCACUGACUUGGUGUUAUUUGCAUUUCCAUUGUUCUUAGAGGCAGUGGUGGAAGCUCUGAUACAUCAAGUGGUCUGAAACUCCACCACAAAAUAUAGCUCCAUGCUAAGGAGUUUGCAGGCUGGAGAGGCGUCAGCAGGUACGUGUGGUGUGAACUGGGCCUAUCAGGAUGCCAGUGGCAGCAAACACUCUUUGUUUCCAUGCCCACUGCCCUCUUUUGCCCUCCCAGCUGCUGAAAGACUGGAUUUUUCAUGCUGCCCAGAAUUGUUCUGUAGGAGAUGAGGAUGAAACACAAUCUCUUUUUCUUUAAGAUUACAGACUGAAAAAUAGCCCAAUGCUAUUUGCAUUUCAGCAAAUAAUCCAAGGAGCAAGGCUGCCAGAAACCCCUAAACGAGAGCAAACAGUCCUUAUCUGGCAAAGUUUUAUGUUACUUAUCACCAGUUCAAGUUUAAGGGCAUUUGUUUGUUUCUGUUGCACACAAGGCAUCUUUUCUGGGCGGAUCCUGCUCUUAGGGUUAGUCCCUGCGUAUUUGUACUAGCACUUGUUCAGCUUCACUCUUGCUCAACUACAGCCUGAUUGCUAGAAAAGGUGGUUGCCAGUGACUGUAAUUUUCUUUGGAUAAAAGGCCUCAGAGCACUCAAGGAAGAGAUAAAUAUCAUUGUCUCAGACCGUUUGCAUUGUGACUGAUAGAAAUGUCACUUUGUUGUUUCCCUCCCUGCCACCAGCAGUGCAAAGUGAACAAGGGCAUCGGAUUUCAAGACUGGCUGGCUCAAAGGAGAACUUUGUUUGCAGAGUCUAGCUCCAAAGGGCAUUAAAAGGACUCUAAUUCCAAAGGGGAGGGGGGGAAAGACGUGACCUUUUAGUGAUCUUCUGGAGAAAGGGCGACAGUGAGAGUUAAUGUCUCUGUCACCAUUAACUCUGCUCUGUAACUCAGUGCGAAGGAGUUAACCAAAUGUCAGUGACUUGCACACAGAGAGACCAAGAAUCACUUAUUAGCAUUAACCACAGGGCGAAGAAAAGUUGCCUAAUAGCAACUGAGCACAUGGCCUUGGGUGCAAACCAUGUUCACCCAGAAAUGAUGGAGAAGGGCCUUUCCAUCCCCUGCCUUUGCCUGGCAGGUUGGAGCUACCAGCUCUGCUGGGUGUGUAAAGCCCAGCAUACGCCUGACACCCUGCCUAGAGGGUCUUGCCCACACCAGCCACUUUUGGCACUGCCCAAGAGGAAGAAAAUAGGGCAUGUCACAGAUCAUGGCCACCAAAAUAUAACAAUGGCCACCAUAUAGAACAACAUUUUGCUUUAAAGUCUUGUACCUGGCAAGGCAGAAGCAUGGAGUGGGGAGGCACAAAUCCUCCCAGGAGUGAGAGCACCACCUUGGCUUCAGCUGCAAACACAAAAGUGUCUCAGUUAGUAAACAGGCUCAGCUGUGGCUGGCUGGUGUUUUAUCUUGUUGUUUCCAUCAGAAUUCAUUUGCAUGCAGGCGUUUGGAUUUUUAGACCAUUUAAGGUUAACUCAUUGCAAUAUGUUAAUCGGCUGCUUUCCCCUGAGGAGCAGCCUGCGGUAGUUAGGGAGCGUGGAGAGCAGAAGUUGCUCUGCCAGCGGCAGGAUGAUCAUCUCUGCUACAUUCGUGCCUGGGGUUGCUGCAUGCCCAGGACAUCCCUGCAGUGUGCUCAGCUGCUUCCCAGCCUUACCAGCCCCACACAUCAACCUGAGCUCAGUCCUCUCUCUUGCCCUGGAGAAGGGCUGGAAGCAUCACAUGCCAUGCCAGAAAUGGUGUUUGGAUGCCGUGCAGCCCACAGGCACACAUGAGCAUUCUCUUCCUUCCUCUCUUCCCUCCCCUCUUUUGGCUCAUCAUGGAGCUCAUCUGAAUUGUUUUGCUGUAAAAUCCCUUCCUUGCUGCUGGUGCUGGGUUGGGUUGAAAUUGGCCAGUGAAUUCAAACCGUACUGUGGGCGGCUGAUAGACAGGCAGAUAGACAACAUGAUUGUGAGAGCUUAAUUUCUGUAAGGAAUCAGGCUAAAAAUGACUCCUUAUCCCAAGGGAGCUUGUCCAGCAUGUCUCAAACCGAAGUGCACAAAACAGAGAGAAAACGCUCCAAGACAGCAAUGGUUACAGUGCUAAUUCAAGAUCCACAGUCGGUUUUCUACUCGACCACAACCUCUCUGUUGGGCCUCCAGCAAAUCACAUAACUUUUCUAACCCUCUGUUUCUUUUAUGUAAAACAGUGCCAAAGGUUUGGGGGUUUACUUUUAGGAGAAGAGAUGAUGAUUGAGUAAAUUAAAACUCAUGAGGUGCUUGGAUGCUACAUCUAAGAUUACAGCCUCACCCUGGUGCCAUCAAAUGGUGCUAUCAAUGGUAUUAUCAUGCCAAUAAUACCAUUAGUAAAAAUAUACAAAACCCUCAACUUCUGUGUCUGGACCCACAAACCCAGAACCACGUGGCUUUGGAAACCAGGUUCCCCUUUAGAGGAGGUACAGAUGCAGUUGCACUGGUGUGGAGGAGACACCAGCAUGCUGCUGCAUCUGGCAGUGUAGUGGCACAUGCUGAAACAACAGCCUUCUGCAUCAUUCUGCUCUGGGGUUAGCUCAGGAAAGAACAGCAAAAUCUUAUCUUUCCUCACACAAAGAUUCGGAGGCGAAGAUAAAAUCCCACAUUUCCCAUUACAUUAUUGCAUAGUAUAGCAGAGGUGCAGACACCUCAGGGAGGCUGCAGGAGCUUGUCUCCCUAGUUAGGAGUACUGAGUGUGGCAAACACUGUCACAAGACCGAGGAGCUGAGGUAUUGCAGGUGCCUCUCUGUGCACAGGUUAUUAUUCUACCUCUAGGUUUGUGGUCUGAUACUCUUGGACAUUUGCAAUCUCUGGAUGAGCCCGUAAGCCUUCAGUUUUAUCACAUUAACAUGGAAAAGUGUUAGCUGUCUUCACAUCACCCCAGGGGUAAUAUUUGCAGCAAAGGGAUAAUGUUUUAUGAGGAAAGGAGGUCUGAAAUAGUGAUGUUUUCUUCCCUUUAGUGCUAACCAUUCCUUCUGUGAUGGGUGUUCGCUGGCUGGGGGAAAUGAAUUGGUGAUGGCUACCCAUCCCUAAUAGGAUUUAUAUUCCCAGAGCUGAAAUCACCCACACAUUCAUGGCUAAUGCUGUCACUUGCCAGCCAUCUAAAAAAAAAAAAAAAACAAAACAACAACCCAACCCGCACCCCCCCCCCCCCCAAAAAAAAAAAAAAA